rnacentral:rRNA from 1 species
GACGAACGCUGGCGGCGUGCUUAACACAUGCAAGUCGAACGGAAAGGCCCUGCUUGCAGGGUACUCGAGUGGCGAACGGGUGAGUAACACGUGGGUGAUCUGCCCUGCACUUCGGGAUAAGCCUGGGAAACUGGGUCUAAUACCGGAUAGGAGCCAUUUUUAGUGUGAUGGUUGGAAAGUUUUUUCGGUGUAGGAUGAGCUCGCGGCCUAUCAGCUUGUUGGUGGGGUAAUGGCCUACCAAGGCGGCGACGGGUAGCCGGCCUGAGAGGGUGGACGGCCACAUGGGGACUGGGAUACGGCCCAGACUCCUACGGGGGGCAGCAGUGGGGAAUUUUGCACAAGGGGCGCAAGCCUGAUGCAGCGACGCCGGGUGGGGGAUGACGGCCUUGGGGUUGUAAACCCCUUUCGCUAGGGACGAAGCUUUUGUGACGGUACCAAGAUAAGAAGCCCCGGCUAACUACGU